rnacentral:rRNA from 1 species
GACGAACGCUGGCGGCGUGCUUAACACAUGCAAGUCGAACGGAAAGGCCUCUUUCGGGGGGUACUCGAGUGGCGAACGGGUGAGUAACACGUGAGUAACCUGCCCUUGACUUUGGGAUAACUUCAGGAAACUGGGGCUAAUACCGGAUAGGAGCUCCUGCUGCAUGGUGGGGGUUGGAAAGUUUCGGCGGUUGGGGAUGGACUCGCGGCUUAUCAGCUUGUUGGUGGGGUAGUGGCUUACCAAGGCUUUGACGGGUAGCCGGCCUGAGAGGGUGACCGGCCACAUUGGGACUGAGAUACGGCCCAGACUCCUUCGGGAGGCAGAAGUGGGGAAUAUUGCACAAUGGGUGGAAGCCUGAUGCAGCAACGCCGUGUGCGGGAUGACGGCCUUCGGGUUGUAAACCGCUUUCGCCUGUGACGAAGCGUGAGUGACGGUAAUGGGUAAAGAAGCACCGGCUAACUACGUG